rnacentral:tRNA from 1 species
UGGGCUGUCGUUCAAUUGGCAGGACAAUGGAUUCUGACUCCAUCAAUCAUAGUUCGAGUCUAUGCAGCCCAGCCA